rnacentral:rRNA from 1 species
CCUACGGGUGGCAGCAGUGAGGAAUAUUGGUCAAUGGACGAGAGUCUGAACCAGCCAAGUAGCGUGAAGGAUGACUGCCCCAUGGGUUGUAAACUUCUUUUAUCAAGGAAUAAAAUGAGGCACGUGUGCCUUUUUGCAUGUACUUUAUGAAUAAGGAUCGGCUAACUCCGUGCCAGCAGCCGCGGUAAUACGGAGGAUCCGAGCGUUAUCCGGAUUUAUUGGGUUUAAAGGGAGCGUAGGCGGGUUGUUAAGUCAGUUGUGAAAGUUUGCGGCUCAACCGUAAAAUUGCAGUUGAUACUGGCAGUCUUGAGUAGAGUAGAGGUAGGCGGAAUGCGUGGUGUAGCGGUGAAAUGCUUAGAUAUCACGAAGAACCCCGAUUGCGAAGGCAGCUUACUAAACGGGGACUGACGUUGAGGCUCGAAAGUGUGGGUAUCAAACAGGAUUAGAUACCCUUGUAGUC